CCUACGGGUGGCAGCAGUGAGGAAUAUUGGUCAAUGGACGCGAGCCUGAACCAGCCAAGUAGCGUGAAGGAUGACUGCCCUAUGGGUUGUAAACUUCUUUUAUAAGGGAAUAAAAUGUUCCACGUGUGCCAUUUUGUAUGUACCUUAUGAAUAAGGAUCGGCUAACUCCGUGCCAGCAGCCGCGGUAAUACGGAGGAUCCGAGCGUUAUCCGGAUUUAUUGGGUUUAAAGGGUGCGUAGGUGGAUUGUUAAGUCAGUUGUGAAAGUUUGCGGCUCAACCGUAGAAUUGCAGUUGAAACUGGCAGUCUUGAGUACAGUAGAGGUAGGCGGAAUGCGUGGUGUAGCGGUGAAAUGCUUAGAUAUCACGAAGAACGCCGAUUGCGAAGGCAGCUCACUGGACUACAACUGACACUGAGGCACGAAAGUGUGGGUAUCGAACAGGAUUAGAUACCCCGGUAGUC
rnacentral:rRNA from 1 species